GUGUGUGUGUGUGUGUGUGUGUGUGUGUGUGUGUGUGUGUGUGUGUGUGAGAUCCCACGGAUCAUUGUCUCCGGGUCCAGACUGCACCGACUCAGGUUCUCAGUGUGGCUUCACUAAUCUGCGGUUGUGUAAAUGUUCAGCCAGUGAUAACGGGCCAAGGUCCAGCUUGCUCUAACAAGAUGACGAGAUCAGCAUGUCGGAAGAGCAUAGCAGCGAAUUUUCUGUGGGAAAAAUGUUUCGGAUGAAGAAAAAAUUCCACAACAGCUGGUUGAAGAGGAAAACACAAAGAUGGAGCUGCUGAGUCGCUAGCUGAACACAAUCAAGUGCUUAAUCAUAAUGUCAAAUGUAACAGAAAAUUAAAGAAGAAUACAUUUUUGGUUGAAUUCUGAAUUAUAGCUCCUUUCUGAAUUAUAGCUCCUUAGGGGCAUUAAUAUCGUGAGUUUCCAUUGUAUUCUAAGGUCUUGCUUAAUGAAGGAUUUGGGCUCCAGAGCUUCAUAUGAUUGUUAAUGUUUUUUUUUUUUUGAAAAUUGAAGUUGCGUUCCAAAUUGUUUGACGAGUGAGAUUGUUGUUUGGGAUUUUUGUUGUGACAAAACACCAAGAA